rnacentral:rRNA from 1 species
AUUGAACGCUGGCGGAAUGCUUUACAUAUGCAAGUCGAACGGCAGCACGGGGGCAACCCUGGUGGCGAGUGGCGAACGGGUGAGUAAUACAUCGGAACGUGCCCGGUCGUGGGGGAUAACGUAGCGAAAGUUACGCUAAUACCGCAUACGAUCUGAGGAUGAAAGCGGGGGACCUUCGGGCCUCGCGCGAUCGGAGCGGCCGAUGUCAGAUUAGGUAGUUGGUGGGGUAAAGGCCUACCAAGCCGACGAUCUGUAGCUGGUCUGAGAGGACGACCAGCCACACUGGGACUGAGACACGGCCCAGACUCCUACGGGAGGCAGCAGUGGGGAAUUUUGGACAAUGGGCGCAAGCCUGAUCCAGCCAUUCCGCGUGCAGGACGAAGGCCUUCGGGUUGUAAACUGCUUUUGUAUGGAACGAAAAGGCUCUGGCUAAUACCUGGGGCUCAUGACGGUACCGUAAGAAUAAGCACCGGCUAACUACGUG